rnacentral:rRNA from 1 species
AUUGAACGCUGGCGGCAUGCUUUACACAUGCAAGUCGAACGGUAACAGGCCUUCGGGUGCUGACGAGUGGCGAACGGGUGAGUAAUGCAUCGGAACGUACCCAGAGGUGGGGGAUAACGCAGCGAAAGCUGUGCUAAUACCGCAUGUGAUCUGAGGAUGAAAGCGGGGGACCGAGCAGCAAUGUUUGGCCUCGCGCCUUUGGAGCGGCCGAUGUCGGAUUAGCUAGUUGGUGGGGUAAAGGCCUACCAAGGCGACGAUCCGUAGCUGGUCUGAGAGGACGACCAGCGACACUGGGAGUGAGACACGGCCCAGACUCCUACGGGAGGCAGCAGUGGGGAAUUUUGGACAAUGGGCGCAAGCCUGAUCCAGCAAUGCCGCGUGCGGGAAGAGGGCCUUCGGGUUGUAAACCGCUUUUGGCAGGAACGAAACGGUGUCCGCUAAUACCGGGCGCUAAUGACGGUACCUGCAGAAUAAGCACCGGCUAACUACGUG